GAGGUAUGCCUAGGGAGGGGCUCUGGGAGAGGAAGGAAGGCCAAACUAGGAAGAGGCCCAGGGAGAUAGAGACCGUAGCCUAGAGCCUGGCCUCGAGCCUAAAGAGGGAGAGUCUUGGUUCUCCUGGGAAAGGUGGUGUGGACACCCCCUGAGACAAGAUGGAGAAGGACUAUUGAGUUUGGAGCCAGGGAGAAAGCCCUGGAGGCCUAAGGUGCAUUCCCCUCUUGGAAGAGGUUGCUUCUGUUGGGAAAGAGUUAAGAGAGUAUUGCUGAUCACUGGUGCAGGUGCCUAGUGGCAGUGAUUCCCUAGAGAGAGGAUCUAGGGUGUGUGCUGAGUGGUCCUGAGGGAGGAGGCCUGGGGAGAAGGUCUGAAGUGAAUUUUAUGUGUACUCUGGUUUAUCUUAGUUUAUGAAGCUGAACCCUAGAAGGAGGCAUUUACUCUUGAGCCAUCCAUUAGGAGAUUACAACAGCUCGUGGCUGGACUCUGCAUGGAGAUGAAACUGGAGGCAGAUGAAUGGCUGCUGGAUCUGAUCUGUGUCCAUUUAACCUUCCUUGGGGGCUCACUGUGCGCACAGAAGAGUAGUGUUUUCAACCCUCCAAAGCAUGUUGCAGAGUACGAACUAGAGCACACAGAGUGGUAAACUGAUGAGGUUCAAGAUGGAAGCGCAAGGAACCAGUGUUGUAUAGUGGUCAGAGUGAGAUAUGGAGAGUUAGGGCUCCUGGAUUCCUCAGCUACUGACUCGCUGGGUGACCUUAGGCAAGUCACCUUCCCUCUCUGUACCCUGGGUUAAUUGUCUGUAAAAUGCGGUUAAUAGUGCCCUGCCUCAGAGGGAGGCUGCAAUGUAUAGCUAAUGGGUGUUGGGGGAGUGCUUUGAGAUCCUUAACUGAAUGGUGUGCUGGC